ACUAACCAAUUGUUGAUUGUGUUUGAGGCAUGGGCUGAAGGGGGUCGUUGUUGUUUAUUUUUGGAACUCACUGAGUAUUUCCGAUUACUCAUCCCCUCUUCUACUAUACAGGUAACCCGUAGGUAGAAAGCUUAGGGCGCAGCGGAACGGGAAGCGGCCGGUGUAGAUUGGAAGUGGCAUAAGCAUAAGCGGACUAUCUUUUGGAAUGUAUAAUUACUUUCUUUUCAUUUUGGCACUAGGCCGUGAGCUCAAACUCUGGUAUUUUGUAUUGUAAUGUUUUGUAAAACGCUUUCUACCUAUUAUUAAUAAAAUGUAUGUUUAUAUUCGUAGUUGUGUGUUAAAUGAUAUUAGACCUUGUCCGGGUCGAUACAACUCGAUGAUUGUGGUACGGGUUGUGAAGCCUUAGGCC
rnacentral:lncRNA from 1 species